rnacentral:rRNA from 1 species
CCUACGGGAGGCAGCAGUGGGGAAUAUUGGACAAUGGGGGGAACCCUGAUCCAGCCAUGCCGCGUGUGUGAAGAAGGCCCUCGGGUUGUAAAGCACUUUCAGUGAGGAAGAACGCCUGGUGGUUAAUACCCAUCAGGAAAGACAUCACUCACAGAAGAAGCACCGGCUAACUCCGUGCCAGCAGCCGCGGUAAUACGGAGGGUGCGAGCGUUAAUCGGAAUUACUGGGCGUAAAGCGCGCGUAGGUGGCUUGAUAAGCCGGUUGUGAAAGCCCCGGGCUCAACCUGGGAACGACAUCCGGAACUGUCAAGCUAGAGUGCAGGAGAGGAAGGUAGAAUUCCCGGUGUAGCGGUGAAAUGCGUAGAGAUAGGGAGGAAUACCAGUGGCGAAGGCGGCCUUCUGGACUGAAACUGACACUGAGGUGCGAAAGCGUGGGUAGCAAACAGGAUUAGAUACCCUAGUAGUC